UUGUUGCCUCUACUCCUCGGCACGGCACAGCCUGGGCUCUUUUCCCCCUCCCGCUUGGGAGUUUGCAGUGUGGACGCUCGGCGAGCACAGGUAGUUGUGAGGAAGAAAUGAGAUCAUCAGUGGCAGUGGCAGCAUCAGUUAUUUGUGGAGAAGGGGAAGUCUGGUCCUGCCUCAUCUCCACUGUCCCUCCAGGGCCCCACCAAGUGAAUAGAUGGAAGAAAAAGAUGAGUACUGGCUAGGUUGGUAAGCCAGAUAUCCACAUUAUCUCACAUCACAUCACUGAGCUCUGUGGCCCAGUUCUGACUACAUGUUGGAAGCAGAAGUCUGCAGGGGAUGGCUUCCGAGAAAACUUGUAUUUAUUAUUUAAAUUUAACCUUCUAGCCUGGGAAUAAAUUCCAGCUUGCUUAGAACAAUACAGCACAGAAAAGAGCCUGAGUUCCUGGUGCAUCCCUGUGCCAGUGUCUCAAUCCUACCCCACUGAUUUCCAAUUUCUUAUUAUGUGAGAAGCAACCCUCCCUUCUUUGAUUAAGUCAUUAUUGAUAGGGUUUUUUUGGUAACUUGCAUCCAAAUGCAUUCCUUAACUCAAACAAAAUAGAAGGGGAAUUCCACAUUCACACUGUUGCAUCAGACAAGCUCUGGCUUCUCAGAACUUUAGUUUUCCAUUUGCUAGAGCUCAGAAUCAAAGAGACAGUAAAGAAACCCAUUUAAAAAUUGCUUGGCAUAUAUAUCUUGGGUGAUGGGACUUCAUGGGUAAUAUUUUUAAAAUUUCUUUGUGUAUUUUUCUUUUAUUGUCAAACAUUAUUAAAGAGACCAUAGAUACCUUUUGUAAUUAUAAUAAAAAAGAAAAUGUUACUAAGAACAGUGAGAACUCUUAAGCUAACUACAAGAUAAUUAAUAUAUAACUGCAAAAUAUAAAAUACCAAAGCCAUUUACAAAUAAAGAAACAGAGCCACAUGAAACUUUGCAGUUUAGCCAAAGUCAUUUCAGGAUUCUGAAGCUAGGGAGGAAGCAAGGCUUACUUAGCCCGUGGCUAGAAUUCACUUUUGAAAACUCCAUUUUUGUCCAUUCCUUCUUAUCACUACUUGUUUGCAAGUUAGGAAACAAGUGAGAAAAAAAGCAUUGUUUGUCGUCAUUGGUCAAUGUUCAGUGCUUUACCAGAGGCUCGGGAUUAGAAGAUUCUCGGAACCAGUUAGCUCCUGAUACAAUCAGGCCUUGAUAUGGUUUGGAUUUGUGUCCCCACCCAAAUCUCAUUUCGAAUUAGAGGAGGGGCCUGGUGGGAGGUGAUUGGAUCAUGGGGGCAGAUUUCCCUCUUGCUGUUCUCAUGAUAGUGACUGAGUUCUCAAAGAUCUUAGGGUUUAAAACUUUUGUGGCACUUCCAUCUUCGCUCUCUCUUCCUCUCUCCUGCUGCCAUGUGAAGAAGGUGCCUGCUUCCCCUUUGCUUUCUGCCAUGAUUGUACGUUUCCUGAGGCCUCCCAAUUGUGCUUCCUGAUAAGCCUAUGGAACUGUGAGUCAAUUAAAUCUCUUUUCUAUAUAAAUAACCCAAUCUCAGGUAGUUCUUUAUAGUAGUGUACAAAUAGACUAAUACAGGCCUGAAUAAGUUGACAUCUAAAAGCCACCUGAAUUAUUUCUGGGAAUAGACUGAGGUACUUUCUGUUUUAAAAUUCUUGGCUUUUGUUACCCAGCCGAACUGGGGCCUGCUUGCCCAGUGCAGUAAGGCCAAACAUGCACACUGAGUUUAUGCAGUGGGAGAAAAGAGGGUGUUUUAUUUGCAGAGUGCCAAGCAAGGAGAAUACAGCAGCUCACACUUAAGACUCAAACUCCCCAAUGGCUUGCAGGUAAGGGUUUUUAACAGAAGGGAUAAAUUUCAGGAAAACAAGUUAUAGGCAAAAUCAUAAAUCAAUAUAUGGAAGUUAUACAUUGGUUUGGCCUAAAAAGGCAGAAUAUCUUGAAAUGGGGGCUUUCAGGUCAUAGACAGAUUCAAAGAUUUUCUGAUUUGCAAUUGGUUAAAGAAGGGAAUCUUUGUCUAAAGACUUGGAAUCAGCAGAAAAGAAUAUGAGAUCUGACUCAUGGUUGUUGCUUCCUCCACGCCCCUCAGAAAGAAACUUCGAACAACGCAUGGCAGUCAGAGUUCAGUCUACAGCCCCACCUCAUCUGAGGUCUCUGUGCCAGUGGGUCCAUUUGGUGGGGGUCUGAGUUUGUGAAAACUCAGGGACAUAUAUUACAACAUUAUCUUCACUUUCUAGAGCCUGUCUUGAAGGAGUACCACCUGUCUUCUGCCUACUAAUGAAAAUUGGAAUUCUCUGAGGAAAGUUCUGUCAUCUAGAAUCUUCUGACCAGUGGAUGAGUCAGCUCAGGGCCUCUUCUCUGCAUCUUCCUUGGACUCGGACUGUGGGAAGCCCUGUGGAAAGCAGGAUGAUCUAACAGCAGGAUAAAGAUUAUUUUCAUUAUCAUGUCCCAUGGCUAAAAAUUACCCACUCCUUUCCCUUCUUAAACUGGGAUCCUCAACUUGGAAUCUCUGGCUAUUAAUAAAGUCUGGAGAGAGCAA